rnacentral:rRNA from 1 species
AUUGAACGCUGGCGGCAUGCUUUACACAUGCAAGUCGAACGGUAACAGGUUAAGCUGACGAGUGGCGCACGGGUGAGUAAUGCAUCGGAACGUGCCCGGUCGUGGGGGAUAACGCAGCGAAAGCUGCGCUAAUACCGCAUACGAUCUGAGGAUGAAAGCGGGGGACCGUAAGGCCUCGCGCGAUCGGAGCGGCCGAUGUCAGAUUAGGUAGUUGGUGGGGUAAAGGCUCACCAAGCCGACGAUCUGUAGCUGGUCUGAGAGGACGACCAGCCACACUGGGACUGAGACACGGCCCAGACUCCUACGGGAGGCAGCAGUGGGGAAUUUUGGACAAUGGGCGCAAGCCUGAUCCAGCAAUGCCGCGUGCAGGAAGAAGGCCUUCGGGUUGUAAACUGCUUUUGUACGGAGCGAAAAGGCUCUCUCUAAUACAGGGGGCUCAUGACGGUACCGUAAGAAUAAGCACCGGUUAACUACGUGCCAGCAGCCGCCGUAA